rnacentral:RNase_P_RNA from 1 species
CGAGUAAGUUGAAUGAACGCAGGCGGAGCGCCGAAAGGCCCCGUCUGAGGAAAGUCCGGGCUCCAUAGGGCAAGGGUGCUGGUUAACGGCCAGUGAGGGCGACCUUAAGGAUCAGUGCCACAGAAACAAACCGCCAAAGCGGGUCGCUAUUGAGUAUCCGCCGGCAAGGAUGGAACGGUGCGGUAAGAGCGCACCAGCGGCCAGGCGACUGGCCGGCUAGGUAAACCCCACCUGGAGCAAAACCGAAUAGGGAGGCAAAUAGAGGCGGCCCGUCUCGCCUCCGGGUAAGGUUGCUAAAGGACACCGGCAACGGCUGUCCGUAGAUAGAUGUUCAUUUUAAACAGAACCCGGCUUACAGACUUGCUCGCUUA